rnacentral:rRNA from 1 species
UACGUAGGUGACCAGCGUUGUCCGGAUUUACUGGGCGUAAAGAGCGCGCAGGCGGUCGUUCAAGUCGAGUGUGAAAGCCCCCGGCUCAACUGGGGAGGGUCACUCGAUACUGAUCGACUUGAAGGCAGGAGAGGGAAGCGGAAUUCCCGGUGUAGUGGUGAAAUGCGUAGAUAUCGGGAGGAACACCGGUGGCGAAGGCGGCUACCUGGACAGAAACUGACGCUGAGGCACGAAAGCUAGGGGAGCAAACAGG